AACUUUGGAUGCUAACAGUCAGAAGUGGAUUGGCCAUUGAGAGUACCGGGACUUUUCCCGGUGGGCCGAUCAGUAAAUGGGCCGAUGGCUGCCCAUUUUUUUUAUUUUUCA